GGUUGCAAGUUUGAGGCCAUAGCAGAAGCACUCAUGAUGUGGCUCUGUCAGAUUCCAAUGAAUCUGUGAUUCUGGU
rnacentral:lncRNA from 1 species